GGGGUGGGUUGGCUGGCCAGGGAGAGGUUGGAGGAGGUGGACCAGCUUUGAGGAAGAAGGAGGAAUGAGCUAAAGAGACGCAAAGAAGCAUGACUCAAGGAAGAGAUUUGCUGCUGCAAAAGAUCUGCUGUAAGGUCUGCUGCAACACCUGAGACUAAGAUAGGAUAUAUGAAGGCAACUGAUAAAGAAGGAAUAAUCUACCUGUGAUCUGGGCUGUGGCACAAGGGAAAAGUUUACAGGCACAAGAGUAAUUCAUUAUAUAGUCCACCUUGAACUGGAAGUUGAUGGGAUCAUGAUCUGCCAGCUUGAUCAUCUUGAAAGCGCCACAAAAUGAAGAUGAAACUGAUCAGGGAGGAAAAUCUUUCUUUGGUGAAGCAGGUGGAGAACUUCACCAGGAAGCUGGCAUCAGUGGCCACAAGAAUGAGACCCUGCAAGGCUGAUCAAAGGUGGAACUCCAGCAGGCCAGAACACAUAAAGGAGAGACCGAAUUCCUCUGCUCCACAGCAAUACAGUGUCAGUUUUUAUGUUGUCACCUGCAGACAGAUGCCACUGGAAGGCAGCAGAUUUACAAGUGGGACAUCAAGACCCAAUGUCAGGUCAGGAACCUGCAUGGCUGGUGAGGAGGACAGCUUGCAGCUUACAAAGACUUUGGGCACACAUGCUCCAGAAUAGACAGAUUGACUGUGAUAUUCAGGGAAUAUUUUGAACUUUUUUUACAUAGAGAUGCUUUGUGUUUGUGGGCCAAAGCAAAUUUCUGCUUAUAGUCUCUUCCCUCUGCAUGAGAAGCUAAAUCCCUAAGGAUACCAAUAAACUUUCUUUUCCAUCAAAUUCUUAAGAAAUGUAUUUAUAACUGGUAUUUUAAUAUUAUCUUGUGUACCUGCAGCCAAUUUUUUUUAACUACAAUUUUUCACAGUAUUUAUUUAACAUGUGAGUACCUUGCAAUGCCAUACAAAUUUCCUGGGGUUUGCAUUAACUGUGACCACUAAAUUGGUAAGCCAGCUUGUCCUACAUGGUGCUAGGAAUUGAUUUUAUUAACUUUUUGAAGUUAUUGCCCAAAUCUUUCCACACAAAGAAACAACUCAUUCUUCCUUUUCCAUCAUGGUUUGUAAAGAUGGGACUCAACUGAUCAGAUUUUACUGCUGACACCUGAGCUAAUUGUCUAGACUGUCCUUGCUGUCACAAGAGAGAAAGGGGCCUCAUUUGUCUCAGUUCACUUAAGACAGACCAGAUGAGUGACACAUUCUCAGUGCAUGUUUCUCGCUGGUGAUUUUUGUGAAUCGAGAUGAUGUGAAUGUGGAUGUUUCAAUAUGAGUCUUUACCACCUGUCAGUGACAUCUGCAGGGGGAGAUGAUCCCCCUUUAGCAAGGAUUGCAGGUAUAAGGGACCUUGCUGAACAAAACAGGUUUUGAUGAUUAAUUUCCCACUAUAUUUCUUAGAAGAACUUUGUCUCCAGAAGAAGCAUGCAUUUCAGAAUGGUUCUUACAUGCUGGGCUUCUUUUGGACUGGUUUGGGUUUUGAGGAGGGAGGUGUUUUGCCCUUCUUGUUCUUGAAACAGUUAAGCUCUUGAAAUGCUUAACUGUUGCUAGUUCAGCCAGAGUUUCUUGUGUCUGUUGCACAAAUGUUCAUUUGCAAAGCACGGUAAUCCUUGAAGUCAUGGCACUGACUUUCAUUGCUUUUUAAAGACCCUUUAGGAGAUUCCUAGAAUCAGCUUGGGACCAGGCAGAAAUAGUGCUGUGAAUAUUCACGUUUUAACACAAGAUGUCUUUCAGUGGAGUAACAUCUGCUGUGUCUAUAAUGUGCUGGUUUUUUCCAGGAAACUGGAUCAGUAACAGUUAAGUUUUAUCUUGAGUUUGUGCUGCUAGUGUGAUUCUUUGGAUGAGGAGGGGAGAGUUUAUCUGAAUAGCCAGAAGCAGCUCUUCAGUUUCUGGAGGUAUUAUGAAAAAGUUAAGCAGCCUUUACAUUACUGCUAACUAAAAGAAAACCAGCACCAACCAUAUCAAAGAAAGAGUCAAAAUAAGCCCUACCUCUGGGUGGCCAGUUGAGUGGAUCUGAGAACAGAUUUCAUCCUUGCUAAAUAGCUCAGACCCUCGCCAUGGGUUUUGCAGUCUGUGUAUACAAGAGCAAAAUUCGGCCUUUUGCUGUCCUGCUGGUAAGCAAGGCCAGAUCCUUAAUGACCUACUUUUUAUUAUUUGGUAAAACAAUAUAUAUUAUUCAGCAGGCUUCCCAAUUAAUUGAUUUUCUGCUGGUUGGGAUGUAAGAAUUCAAGCUGAUAACAUAGAUGGUGUUCAUGAUGGUAACACAGGCAGAUAAUGCUAGAAGGGAAGAUUCAGGGAUUUUUGGCUUUUAACUGAUGCAGUGAAGUGUGUUCAUUUGUUCAUUAGAAGUGCAUUUAAAUUGGCUUAACCAUAUGUUCAUUUAGCUCUUCAUAAUACUUUAAUACUGGCAGGAGUGAAGCCUCCCAAAGAACAAUUCCCUUACGCUUCCAAACAUGAUGUUAAACAGAUCUGCUUUAAUAUUCUUUCAGUGCAUAAAGCAAAUGUAUAAAACAAACUCAUUUAUCAAAUGAAAAGAAUACAAACACUGAAAUACAAUUACUUUUCUGAUAGCUGUUGAACAGGUGCUAUAUUGUAAUGUAUGAUAAAAUACCAAACAGAUUCAUUAUGGUUAUUGCUCACCAUUACAAUAAAGGUAACCUUCUUUAGGAUCCAAGCAUUUGUAUACCUGCCUAACUUUGCAGAUGACUUCAAAGCAACUGGUCCCAAGGGCAUGUUUUCAGGAUUGAGAAUUUAAUGCCUGGACUCUUAAAUAAUGCAUCACUUAAAGUGUAAGAAAGUGGAUGAGUUAAUUAUUUAGCUUGUUUUUCCUGUCGAAAACAGUUGCCAGCAAGUAGAACGGGUAGGUAAGAAGAAUCACAACCUGUAGAGAUUUUUAAAUACAGAGCAAACCAGAAAGCAUUAUGUUGCCAUUUGCAUACAUUCCUAGAAGUUACAGAGAAACUCAGCUCGCAAAUCAGAAAUUGUGAAUGAAUUCAGCAGAUUUGUCAAACAACAUGAUUUAAAAAUAACUGAUGGGUAUAGCAUAUGUCAAAACAAGCCAGGCAAGGCAGCUUCACUGCCCGUGCUCCUUCUUCUGUGGGAGUCAGCAGAGACUUGCUAUCAGCCUUGCUGAGGAGGGAGGUUUGCCUCCCAUUGCUGGGAGAGGACAAUCUCCCUGGAGCCUGCCUGCACCCUUACCUCACCCCACAUCCCUCAGCCACUGUCCCAGGGCACAUCUGUGGAGCUCUGCCCAGCAGUGGCCCUUUCAUCCCCUUGCUAACAGGAUUUCUGUUCUCUUUUGAGUCAGUUGCCUUCCCUGUCCUGUGUGUUAUGGCUCAGAAACAUUCUGCUUCUUCAAAGCUUUGUAACAACAACAACUUGACAAUCUGUUGGUGUUAAGCCAGGUUUAUAUCAAAGCACAGCAGUGAAGUAAUACCACAUAUAGUGGCUGUGGGACUGAUUUUUCCUUUCCGAGGUGUGGUUGACGUGUCGUCUUCCCCAGACAUACGGAAGAUCUUCACAGAACAGCAUUAGAGAAGGGGAAGAAUUGUAUUGCUGUCCAGUUCCUGAGCCAAAACAGCAUACCAGGCCCUGUGUCAUAUACAAACCAGUGGGAAGUAAAAAAAAUGAGGAAAGACAUUUAUACUAAAAUGUUUAUACCAAAUAUAUACUCUGAUAUCUGAAUAAUAUUUGUAUAUCAUACAUGAAUAUUGUUGCUGGAACAUGGGAAAUAUUGUAUCUGUUUGUUUCUGGUUACUGUUGGAAAAUUAAUGGUUUUCUGGAGCAAAUAAAUCACCACUUGGCAGCUGUUACUGGCAGGACAAAGAGUAAAACACACAUAUGCUGUGCACAAUAUUUGUCUCCUUUUCUUUCUUCUGAAUGUGAAUGAAAUAAAGUACUGGUGUUUCGAA